rnacentral:rRNA from 1 species
UACGGGGGGUGCAAGCGUUGUCCGGAAUCAUUGGGCGUAAAGAGUUCGUAGGCGGCACGUAAAGUCUGGUGUUAAAGGCAGAGGCUCAACUUCUGUACGGCACUGGAUACUUGCGAGCUAGAAUGCGGUAGAGGUAAAGGGAAUUCCUGGUGUAGCGGUGAAAUGCAUAGAUAUCGAGAGGAACACUCGUGGCGAAGGCGGGUUCCUGGACAUUAACUGACGCUGAGGCACGAAGGCCAGGGGAGCGAAAGGG